GACGAAGGGGGCUAGCGUUGCUCGGAAUUACUGGGCGUAAAGCGCGUGUAGGCGGCUGUUCAAGUUGGGCGUGAAAGCCUUGGGCUUAACCCAAGAAAUGCGCUCAAUACUGGAUAGCUAGAGGACCGGAGAGGAUAGUGGAAUUCCCAGUGUAGUGGUGAAAUACGUAGAGAUUGGGAAGAACACCAGUGGCGAAGGCGGCUAUCUGGACGGUUUCUGACGCUAAGACGCGAAAGCGUGGGGAGCAAACAGGAUUAGAUACCCUGGUAGUCCACGCCGUAAACGAUGGGUGCUAGACGUUGGCGAGCUUGCUCGUCAGUGUCGCAGCUAACGCAUUAAGCACCCCGCCUGGGGAGUACGGCCGCAAGGUUGAA
rnacentral:rRNA from 1 species